UACGUAGGGUGCGAGCGUUGUCCGGAAUUAUUGGGCGUAAAGAGCUCGUAGGCGGCUUGUCGCGUCGGAUGUGAAAGCCCGGGGCUUAACUCCGGGUCUGCAUUCGAUACGGGCAGGCUAGAGUUCGGUAGGGGAGAUCGGAAUUCCUGGUGUAGCGGUGAAAUGCGCAGAUAUCAGGAGGAACACCGGUGGCGAAGGCGGAUCUCUGGGGCCGAUACUGACGCUGAGGAGCGAAAGCGUGGGGAGCGAACAGG
rnacentral:rRNA from 1 species